CUCUUUUUUUCGGUUUUUCUCUUUUUUUUUGUUAAAAAUGUAGGACUCUAUAACUUUUAGAUUGUGAGGCCAAACUUGGCAUGUGAUACCUUUUCGGAAAGCCCAAAGAGACCUCUCCAAUGAAUAAGGAAGGAAAAUUGAAUUCUUAUAUAGUUUUUUUUUCUACUCCAAAUUUUGACCCUUAAUGUACUUUUUCGGGGCCCUUUUCUGAAUCUUUGUUAUAUUACGGGGCCAAAAUUAUAUGUUCGAACAUUUGUUUUCGAAGAUUUUCGAUGUAUCAAAGCUCUUAUAAACAAGAUAGGGCAUUCCUACAUAGCUGGUCGGACCCACGGGCAAAUGGAUCAUAAAGUCUUAAAAAAAAAUAGAUACGAUUGCAUUGCAUGUAGUAACGGAUGCGAUUAUACCAGCAUUAAUGCACCGGAUCCUAUCAGAAAUCAGCAGUUAAGCGUCCUUGGCGAGAGUAGUAACUAGGAAUCCC
rnacentral:rRNA from 1 species